rnacentral:rRNA from 1 species
GUGGGGAAUUUUGGACAAUGGGGGCAACCCUGAUCCAGCCAUGCCGCGUGCGGGAAGAAGGCCUUCGGGUUGUAAACCGCUUUUGUCAGGGAAGAAAUCCUUUGGGUUAAUACCUCGGAGGGAUGACGGUACCUGAAGAAUAAGCACCGGCUAACUACGUGCCAGCAGCCGCGGUAAUACGUAGGGUGCGAGCGUUAAUCGGAAUUACUGGGCGUAAAGCGUGCGCAGGCGGUUUUGUAAGAUCGAUGUGAAAUCCCCGGGCUCAACCUGGGAACUGCAUUGGUGACUGCAAGGCUGGAGUGCGGCAGAGGGGGAUGGAAUUCCGCGUGUAGCAGUGAAAUGCGUAGAUAUGCGGAGGAACACCGAUGGCGAAGGCAAUCCCCUGGGCCUGCACUGACGCUCAUGCACGAAAGCGUGGGGAGCAAACAGGAUUAGAAACCCUUGUAGUCC